rnacentral:sRNA from 1 species
UCCGCAGCGCAGCCCGCACCCAGCCGCCUCUCCCGUUCCUCCGCACACGGGCAGCCGCGGUCCACUGUGGGGCAGUCGUCGUUGGCAUCGCGCGCAAGUGAACCGGAGCAAACGACUUCCGAUCCAGUCUGCGCUGCUGCGGCUCCCGUUUGGGAUUUGAUUUGUAGCAUCUUUGAGCCUCUACGACAAAAAAUCGCGAAGCACGCCCAGCCCUCCCCCGGCACCCCGAAAAGCACCCACUCCCUCCCGGGGACACAGCUGGGCGCGUCCACACCCCCGCAGCCCCACACCAUGUUGUGCGGAAGGACUUCCACUCCCCGCCUGUGUCGUUGAUGUCAGACCCCAGGCCAGCCUCCGGGCUCUGCAGUUCUCCCGGCUAAUGCUGAGGCUGCGGCUCCGGCUCUAGCACAGGCACCAGCCGCCGCCGCACCCGGCCCCGGCGCCCACCGUCUGCAUGUGCCCGCCGUAGCCAUCUGUCCAGCCC